rnacentral:rRNA from 1 species
GGAUUAGAUACCCUGGUAGUCCACGCCCUAAACGAUGAUAACUAAGUGUUGCACGUAGGUGCAGUGCUGUAGCAAACGCGUUAAGUUAUCCACCUGAGGAGUACGGUCGCAAGAUUAAAACUCAAAGGAAUAGACGGGGACCCACACAAGCAGUGGAUCACGUGGUUUAAUUCGACAAUAAACGGGGAAUCUCACCCAGACUUGACAUCCUGAGAAUCUUCUAGAAAUAGAAGAGUGCCUUUACGGGAACUCAGUGACAGGUGCUGCAUGGUUGUCGUCAGCUCGUGUUG